rnacentral:rRNA from 1 species
GAUGAACGCUGGCGGCGCGCCUAACACAUGCAAGUCGAACGAUUAAAGCACCUUCGGGUGCGUAUAAAGUGGCGAACGGCCGAGUAACACGUGGGCAACCUGCCUCUUUCAUUGGGAUAGCCACGGGAAACCGUGGAUAAUACCGAACACCUCGAGACUUCCGCAUGGAAGACUCGAGAAAGCUCCGGCGGCGCGGGAUGGGCUCGCGGCCUGUUAGCUUGUUGGUGGGGUAACGGCCUACCAAGGCAAUGGUGGGUAGCUGGGUUGAGAGACCGGCCAGCCAGAUUGGGACUGAGGCACGACCCAUUCUCCUGCGGGAAGCAGCAGUGGGGAGUCUUGCACAAUGGGCGAAAGCCUGAUGCGGCGGCGCCGCGUGCGGGAUGAAGGCCUUCGAGUUAUGAACCACUUUCAGCAGGGACGAGGCGAAAGUGGCGGUACCUGCAGAAGAAGCCCCGGCUAACUACGUG